rnacentral:rRNA from 1 species
UACGUAGGGGGCAAGCGUUGUCCGGAUUUAUUGGGCGUAAAGAGCGUGUAGGCGGCCAGGUAGGUCUGCUGUGAAAACUCGAGGCUCAACCUCGAGGCGUCGGCGGAAACCAUCUGGCUAGAGUCCGGAAGAGGAGAGUGGAAUUCCUGGUGUAGCGGUGAAAUGCGCAGAUAUCAGGAAGAACACCUGUGGUGUAGACAGCUUACUGGACCACUUCUGACGCUGAGACACGAAAGCGUGGGUAGCAAACAGG